rnacentral:rRNA from 1 species
GUAAGCACUUUCAGUCGUGAGGAAGGUGGUGUCGUUAAUAGCUGCAUCAUUUGACGUUAGCGACAGAAGAAGCACCGGCUUACUCCGUGCCAGCAGCCGCGGUAAUACGGAGGGUGCGAGCGUUAAUCGGAAUUACUGGGCGUAAAGCGCAUGCAGGUGGUUUGUUAAGUCAGAUGUGAAAGCCCACGGCUCAACCUGGGAAUAGCAUUUGAAACUGGCAGACUAGAGUACUGUAGAGGGGGGUUAAAAUCCAGGGUGUAGCGGUGAAAUGCGUAGAGAUCUGAUAGGAAUACCGGUGGCGAAGGCGGCCCCCUGGACAGAUACUGACACUCAGAUGCGAACAGCGUGGGGGAGCAAACAGGAUUAGAUACCGUGGUAGUCCACGCCGUAAACGAUGUCUACUUGGAGGUUGUGGCCUUGAGCCGUGGCUUUCGGAGCUAACGCGUUAAGUAGACCGCCUGGGGAGUACGGUCGCAAGAUUAAAACUCAAAUGAAUUGACGGGGGCCCGCACAAGCGGUGGAGCAUGUGGUUUAAUUCGAUGCAACGCGAAGAACCUUACCUACUCUUGACAUCCAGAGAACUUUCCAGAGAUGGAUUGGUGCCUUCGGGAACUCUGAGACAGGUGCUGCAUGGCUGUCGUCAGCUCGUGUUGUGAAAUGUUGGGUUAAGUCCCGCAACGAGCGCAACCCUUAUCCUUGUUUGCCAGCGAGUAAUGUCGGGAACUCCAGGGAGACUGCCGGUGAUAAACCGGAGGAAGGUGGGGACGACGUCAAGUCAUCAUGGCCCUUACGAGUAGGGCUACACACGUGCUACAAUGGCGCAUACAGAGGGCGGCCAACUUGCGAAAGUGAGCGAAUCCCACAAAGUGCGUCGUAGUCCGGAUUGGAGUCUGCAACUCGACUCCAUGAAGUCGGAAUCGCUAGUAAUCGUGGAUCAGAAUGCCACGGUGAAUACGUUCCCGGGCCUUGUACACACCGCCCGUCACACCAUGGGAGUGGGCUGCAAAAGAAGUAGGUAGUUUAACCUUCGGGGAACAGC